rnacentral:lncRNA from 1 species
GACGAAUGGAGUACUUACUAUGUAGUAUGUGGGGUUUUCGCAAAAAAAAGUAGUAUUCAUGCAUGCACGUACAUACACAGAUCUAGUAUAACUUAAGAACUUGAAUGUGAAUUCCGGACGGUAGUGUCACUAUAGCCUGGGAUGUUCUAGAGAUGGAAUCGAUAUACAGGAGUCGCCGGCCCAUCAAUGACGGCCGCAGUGGCGCCAUUGAUGACGGUCGGCUAAGUGUAUGGGACGUUCGCGCAACAAAUUAGGAGCGGACGGACAAACAAAUCAUCGGUGGGGACGACCCAACGGCCAAUGCGACGAGGGUUUUCUAUGUUAGUCAUGGCGUGAUUAGCUUGCUGGUUGUCUUGCUUCCCGUUAUCACAUCUGGUUCUUCAGCUGCUGUUCACAUGCAAGCAAAGGGAGUAGAUCUUAGGUGUCAUAGUUGUAAAUUGCAAAGAAUUCAGAUUAGAUAAGAAUUGAAUCAAAGAGUGUCUCCGUCCCAUGAAUGAGUACCUUGUAUCGUGGAUUCAUGCUCCAAAUCCAAUCGCGUAUGGUUUAGGCGGCUGCCGGCCAAUAAAAUGUGGUGAGUUCCGAUGAGAUGUGUUGCAGCCCGGCGGCCAGAUUUUAAAACUACCUUUAUCUUUUGCUGGAGGUUGUUAUGCCGUAUCCAUGCAUAAAAGCCGGAACUAUAUUGCUCGUUGAUUUAUUGGGUGAAGAGAAAAUUACUCCAACCAGACCCGUUAAUCAUCACGGCACGUUUGGG